rnacentral:rRNA from 1 species
CGGCGGACGGGUGAGUAACGCGUGGGUAACCUGCCUCAUACAGGGGGAUAACAGUUGGAAACGGCUGCUAAUACCGCAUAAGCGCACCGUACCGCAUGGUACGGUGUGAAAAACUCCGGUGGUAUGAGAUGGACCCGCGUCUGAUUAGGUAGUUGGUGGGGUAACGGCCUACCAAGCCGACGAUCAGUAGCCGACCUGAGAGGGUGACCGGCCACAUUGGGACUGAGACACGGCCCAA